rnacentral:rRNA from 1 species
UACAGCGGGAAGCCAGGCGGUGACGCCGAGCGGAACCCGAAAGCCCCUCUCAGUUCGGAUCGGAGUCUGCAACCCGACUCCGUGAAGCUGGAUUCGCUAGUAAUCGCGCAUCAGCCAUGGCGCGGUGAAUACGUUCCCGGGCCUUGUACACACCGCCCGUCAAGCCAUGGGAGCCGGGAGCGCUUGAAGUGCGUCGCCGCGAGGCGCGCCCUAGAGCGAGACCGGUGACUGGGGCUAAGUCGUAACAAGGUAUC